rnacentral:tRNA from 1 species
GAGAUAGUAAAAUUGUAGCCUGUCUAUAGGCGAUGAUUUUAUAAAAUUAAAAUAUAGACUGCACUCGGAGAAAGCUGUGAAACAAUACUUUCGGACAGGAGUUCGAUUCUCCUCAUCUCCACCA